rnacentral:tRNA from 1 species
GGUAGGAUGGCUGAGUAAACGGUGGAUUGUAACCCCACAUACAGAGGUUUGAGCCCUCUUCUUGCCA